UUGGUGACAUGAUGAAUAAAACCAAAUCACCAUCUUUCGUCUGAAAUUAUGAUGAUUUGUUUUUCUGAAAGAGCCA
ensembl:snoRNA small nucleolar RNA SNORD51